UACGUAGGUGACCAGCGUUGUCCGGAUUUACUGGGCGUAAAGAGCUCGUAGGCGGUCUGUCGCGUCGAAUGUGAAAACCCGGGGCUCAACUCCGGGCUUGCAUUCGAUACGGGCAGGCUAGAGUUCGGUAGGGGAGUCUGGAAUUCCUGGUGUAGCGGUGAAAUGCGCAGAUAUCAAGAGGAACACCGGUGGCGAAGGCGGGACUCUGGGCCGAUACUGACGCUGAGGAGCGCAAGCGUGGGGAGCGAACAGG
rnacentral:rRNA from 1 species